UACGGACAUAACAUGUUGAAACAUUGGUUCCAAUACGAUCACGAAGUUAAGCAAUGUCGAGCCUGGUCUGUACCUGGAUGGGCGACCGCUUGGAAAUACCAGGUUCUGU